AGAACUACCUAAAAUGUACCUCAUCUCUAUGUUUCCAGGGUGCAAAAUGCAAGUGCCUCCACGGCACCUGCGGCGCCCACUGCUCGCGUCCGUGCGAGACCCCCGAAUGCUCGUGCGGGGAGCGGGGGGCGUGCCAGUUCGACGAGACGGGCGCCAUAUUGUGUGUUAACUGCACGGAGAAUCGUGCAGGUCCUCUUUGCGACCGAUGUCUGACCGGCUUCUACAACGCUGUUCCUGACGGGCCCUGUCUGCCGUGCGAGUGCGACCCUGACGGCUCUGAUGGCUCCUGCACCUACAGCAAGCACCAAAAGACCUGCAACUGCUUCCUCGGUUUCACCGGUCCGCUAUGCGACGCGUGCGCCGAUGAAAACGCAGUGUUCCCUUACUGCUUGGUCACCGAGCUUACCACGGGCGUUCCUGAGUGCAAGUGCGAUGUCCGCGGGGUGGUGGAUCCUGAGAGAGUUUGUGAUGAUGUCUGUGACU